rnacentral:rRNA from 1 species
AUGAUAAAGGUUUGGCUUGGCCUUCAUGACAUGAACCUCCUGGAUUGGGGCCACAUGGACUUCGUUAAAGAUUCAUGGGGGCACAAUGCGUACAGAAUGACGCAAUCCCGAAGGCUGCUCAUCUCCCUCAUGUUGCUCAUUUCAUGGGAGAUAUGGCGGGACGGAAACGCAAGGGUCUUCCGUAGUGCUGCGGUACCGGUCGGAGUUAUUGUCACAAAGAUAAAAGAGGAGUUGUCUGAUACGUCUCCAACUUAUCUACUCCCUCCUUCCAUCUAUAUAGGGCCUAAUGUGUUUUUCAAGACAACCUUUGACUAUUGA